UGGGGAAUAUUGCGCAAUGGGCGAAAGCCUGACGCAGCCACGCCGCGUGAGCGAUGAAGGCCUUCGGGUCGUAAAGCUCUGUGGGGAGAGAAGAAGAAAGCCCGUGAAGAGCGGGCCUUGACGGUAUCUCCUUAGCAAGCACCGGCUAACUCCGUGCCAGCAGCCGCGGUAAUACGGAGGGUGCAAACGUUGCUCGGAAUCAUUGGGCGUAAAGCGCACGUAGUCGGCGAAGCAAGUCGGGUGUGAAAGCCCUGGGCUCAACCCAGGAAGUGCAUUAGAAACUAUUUCGCUUGAAUCUAGGAGGGGGUAAGAGAAUACCCGGUGAAGGGGUAGAAUUAGUAGAUAUCGGGAGGAAUACCAGUGGAGAAGGCGGUGACCUGGACGAAGAUUGACGCUGAGGUGCGAAAGCGAGGGGAGCAAACA
rnacentral:rRNA from 1 species